CCGCGUGUGUGAAGAAGGCCUUCGGGUUGUAAAGCACUUUCAGUCGUGAGGAAGGUGGUGUAGUUAAUAGCUGCAUUAUUUGACGUUAGCGACAGAAGAAGCACCGGCUAACUCCGUGCCAGCAGCCGCGGUAAUACGGAGGGUGCGAGCGUUAAUCGGAAUUACUGGGCGUAAAGCGCAUGCAGGUGGUUUGUUAAGUCAGAUGUGAAAGCCCGGGGCUCAACCUCGGAAUAGCAUUUGAAACUGGCAGACUAGAGUACUGUAGAGGGGGGUAGAAUUUCAGGUGUAGCGGUGAAAUGCGUAGAGAUCUGAAGGAAUACCGGUGGCGAAGGCGGCCCCCUGGACAGAUACUGACACUCAGAUGCGAAAGCGUGGGGAGCAAACAGGAUUAGAUACCCUGGUAGUCCACGCCGUAAACGAUGUCUACUUGGAGGUUGUGGCCUUGAGCCGUGGCUUUCGGAGCUAACGCGUUAAGUAGACCGCCUGGGGAGUACGGUCGCAAGAUUAAAACUCAAAUGAAUUGACGGGGGCCCGCACAAGCGGUGGAGCAUGUGGUUUAAUUCGAUGCAACGCGAAGAACCUUACCUACUCUUGACAUCCAGAGAACUUUCCAGAGAUGGAUUGGUGCCUUCGGGAACUCUGAGACAGGUGCUGCAUGGCUGUCGUCAGCUCGUGUUGUGAAAUGUUGGGUUAAGUCCCGCAACGAGCGCAACCCUUAUCCUUGUUUGCCAGCGAGUAAUGUCGGGAACUCCAGGGAGACUGCCGGUGAUAAACCGGAGGAAGGUGGGGACGACGUCAAGUCAUCAUGGCCCUUACGAGUAGGGCUACACACGUGCUACAAUGGCGCAUACAGAGGGCGGCCAACUUGCGAGAGUGAGCGAAUCCCAAAAAGUGCGUCGUAGUCCGGAUUGGAGUCUGCAACUCGACUCCAUGAAGUCGGAAUCGCUAGUAAUCGUGGAUCAGAAUGCCACGGUGAAUACGUUCCCGGGCCUUGUACACACCGCCCGUCACACCAUGGGGAGUGGGCUGCAAAAGAAGUAGGUAGUUUAACCUUCGGGGGGACGCUUACCACUUUGGGUUCAUGACUGGGUG
rnacentral:rRNA from 2 species